GGAGAGAGAGGAGAGAGAGAGAAAGAGAGACCGAGACCCCGAUUCCCGAAGGUGAUUGGUUGCGGGAGGAGGGGCAGGCGGGAGGAGCGGGUCCCGCGGCGGGGCUUGCAAGAAUCGCUGGCUCCGGCUGCCACCUAGCGGACGGGAGCCGCUCCCGGGCGGCACACAGCCGAGUCCCUCCUCCCCUCCCCGCAGGCAGCCUGUGCCUUUUCUCCAAACGAAGACAGCACUUUGAAAAUUCUUUCAAUGGAUUUUUUUUUCCUUGAAAGAUCGUACUGGGGGAAAAUGAUACUUCUAUUAGUUACAUAUUCUCCAAUCGCAUACUCGCACCCCCCUCGUUUUGAGAUCGCUCCCCUAGGCAGGCUCAGGCGGGCGCGGAGCGGCGCGGAGUGACAAAGCCGCCGCUGCCGCCGCCGGGGGUGGGAGCAGCGCUCGCCCGCCCGCCCCUCGAUUCGCGAGGGCGUAAAAGUUUGUCUCAGCUCGAGCAUUCCUAGCGCCAACAUGCCCUCAGGUAAAGGUGGAAGUAAAUGGCCACGCUGUAUUGACAGAGGUAGAUGAAAGUCAAGAGAGAAGGUGUGGAUAAAUGAAACUAGCCCAUGAUGAGCCUGUUUUCUCCGUGACCACAAUACGAACCAGGAUGAUGGUGGUGGCAGUGGGCUUGCAUCACAGGUUGCAGCAGAUGUUCUCAAUAUCUCUAUUAAAAUUUCCUUAUUUCCGUAUGUGAGAGGAGCUCCAGAGCCGCAUCCUUAUGGUAGCUACCAUGCCGUGAUGUAAGCUGCCAUUCACUGGGAGCUUUGGCAAGAGAAUUGGCUAGAUCAGCAAGCCCAUCUCCACUAUGGAACAACAACUUGCAGCUCGUCUCUAUUGAUGGUGAAACAGUCACAAAUGGAAUAUCAAGAAACAUGCUAUAUACACUGCCUCUAGGACUGGGACAGAUAGCCACUGAGUACCAGCUUCAAAUCACCCUGCACAUUUUCUUGUUGGAAAGAUAACCACUGGAGAACCAUCUCGUUACCUUCAGCAAAAAUGAAAACAGAUCAAGACAUUAAGAAUGCCACAGUGGACAGCAGUUACGCAAGGUUCAGCAGAGGAAGUUUUCAAGAUGGUGUGCCUCGCUAGCCAGAAAUCAGAAAAGAUCGAAGCUAGCCUUUUCAUCUCAGCUGCUCCUUAAAUCAGUCCAACCCCUCCAAAUUAAUGUGAAUUGAAACAUGCAUUGCUUUUCAACUUAAUUGAGUACUUACUAUGUGUGAACCACUGCACAAAAUGGGGGAAGAAAAUGAGGGAGACAAAGCCUGCCUUCGGUAAAUUUACAGUUAGUUUCAGGGUACAUUGUUUUUCUUCUGCUGUUAAUUAGGUGUAUCCCCAAGAAAAUAAGUAAAUGGAAAAGUAUAUUCUGUGUUUUAACUCUCUUUAAUAAAAAACAAAACCAAACCCAAAAACCUCCUAACAUGGCAACUCAGUACAUUUUAAUCCUUUUUGUUGUUGUUGUUGGACUUCUGAUAGGAUCUAUUUUAUUGAUUCCAUAAAUAUUUAGUAGACUUUAGAGAUAUUAA